GGAGCAGUUGGUAGCUCAGUGGUAGAGUGUAUGCUUUGUGUGUAUGACGUCCUGGGUUUGAAUCCCAGCUGCUCCC
rnacentral:tRNA from 1 species